UAUUUAGCUACUCAUAAUGUUGGGAUUGAACAAAAAAAGUUAAAAGACAUCACCAAAAUUCGAUGAAACGUGAUUACUUUUCAAUGGUGUGCCAUCUUCUUCUCAUGUCUGCUUUUUUUUCCCAUCUCAAGUCCAUCCCCUUUAACAGUUGUCUGCUUUGUGUGUAUAUAUAUGUUUUCUACUCAGCCGCUAAUAUGCCUUUUUAUUUUUUCUAGCCGCAAUUCCCAGCUCUUUCUAAUUUCCAAAGCAACCAGCCUACUAUUCUCUCAAGGGAAAUGCUUGAAGUAUAGGUAAGAGUUUAUAGAACCCCUACCUAACACUCACAACAUGGGUGGGGUGGGUGGGGUUUUGGGCAUUUUUUUAUACAAGCGGGUCCUACUCUUUGUGAAUGUGUGUAGGUAUAAUUGUUCUCUCAAUGAUUCUAAAUAAACAGCAGGCACCCUGCCAAUAGGGCUGGACAAACAGGGCCUACGUGGCCCUAUUUGCCAAGUAGAGUUCUUGUUCUCUCUCUCUCUCUCUCCAUGCACGUUCUUCUCAACCUCAACCGCCCAAUUGUUGUAGUCUCUAAGUGGGGUUUUGGGCAUUUUUUUAUACAAGCGGAUCCCACCUUUUGUGAGUGUGUGUAGGUAUAAUUGUUCUACCAAUAAUUCUAAAUAAACGACAGGCAUCCUGCCAAUAGAGCCUAGACAAACAAGGCCUACGUGGCCCUAUUUGCCAAGUAGAGCUCUCGUUCUCUCUCUCUCUCUCUCUCUCUCUCUCUCUCUCUCUCUAUAUAUAUAUAUAUAUAUAUGCAUGUUCUUCUCAACCUCAACCGCCCAAUUGUUAUAGUCUCUAAUUAGGAAUCAAAUUGCUUUCCAUUUCAAGUGCCCAUAACUUUUAUGAUAGAAAGAAAGUCCAAGUCCACUUAAGUUCCUGUAGAAGUUUCAUCACAUACCUUAUUUUAAAUAAAUAUUCAAAUUAUACUACUAAAUAUUUUUUAAACCAAAACUAAUGCAAUUUAUGUAGUAAAAAUGAAAAAAAUAAUAAUAAUUGCUUCUAUCAUCCAUUUAUUGAUUUCACUGCUGUAAUUACUCCUCUAAACACAUCAACAUUCCUGAUUAAGAAAUACAUUUUCGAAUCUACAUGGCUUUAAUCAAUCCACGAAACGCGCCCCAACUAUCCCAGGUUAACUUUCCCAAAAAAUUACCUCUUAUUUGAAGAAUUUUUCCAUUCAAUUUCAUUCAAAUAGUUCUUCACAUACCAAGUUUAGGUUUUAUUUCAACCUGUAAAUCUAGAAAUUCAUACCAAAUCGCGGUUCAACAUUGGCUUGAAGCAAGAACAAACACCCAAUCUAAGGUUCAUCAUAGGCUGCUAAUCCGUCAUGCUAUUUGUCAAUGGGCUUAGAUGGGAAUGAAAAGGAAAUGAAGAUACCAACCAAAUGAAGACCAUAGCUCAACUGGAAACUACUGAUAUGUGCAUAAAGUCUACAAAGGAGGAAAGAAUUAAAAAUGAAAAAAAAAAUUCAUCGACAACAAAAGUGAAUAUGUGUAGAGAACAAAGGAAGAAAUGGAAAAACUCAAAAUUAAAAUAGAUGAAUAGUAACAAAAAAGAACAAAAUUGGAACUAGUGUUAAGGCUUAAGAGGCAAAGUCUUUUGACAUUGCAACUCACUCAUAAAGAAAUACAGUUGGAGUCAAAAGCAUUUGAAAAACAUGCUGCUCAUGCACUUAGCUACAUCAGUAACUAAUCGGAGGCCGCAAAUAAUAUUGUUGUUCAGUUGACUCGAGGUGAAUGUCACAGGUUGGAGCAACUAUAUUCCCACCACGGAUCGAGCAAAGGAAGAAUGGAAGAAAAUAGAAGUCCUAAUGAAAGUUUUGUGGAUCUCAUAGAAGAGCAAUAUGCAAGUAUCAGAG
rnacentral:lncRNA from 1 species